rnacentral:lncRNA from 1 species
GGCUUUACAGCCGCUGUGUGGGACUUUCAGCCUGCAGACUUUGUGAGCAGGGGCCUGUUUCAGGAGGCUGUACCAAACUCCGAGCCGAUCGGCGUCACGAUUGGACUCAAAUUCUACAAACACCUGGAACACACACAGGACAGGUGCUUUUCUACCAUCUCUCCAACGGUGAGAGCGGGAACUGGGGCUGAGCAAGAUGCGGUUGCUGAAGGCUGCUGCUCUGUCUCUGUUGUAGCUGAAGAUGUGGUUGCUGAAGGCUGCUGCUCUGUCUCUGUUGUAGCUGAAGAUGUGGUUGCUGAAGGCUGCUGCUCUGUCUCUGCUGUAGCUGAAGAUGUGGUUGCUGAAGGCUGCUGCUCUGUCUCUGCUGUAGCUGAAGAUGUGGUUGCUGAAGGCUGCUGCUCUGUCUCUGCUGUAGCUGAAGAUGUGGUUGCUGAAGGCUGCUGCUCUGUCUCUGCUGUAGCUGAAGAUGUGGUUGCUGAAGGCUGCUGCUCUGUCUCUGCUGUAGCUGAAGAUGUGGUUGCUGAAGGCUGCUGCUCUGUCUCUGCUGUAGCUGAAGAUGUGGUUGCUGAAGGCUGCUGCUCUGUCUCUGCUGUAGCUGAAGAUGCGGUUGCGGCUGGCACCUCACUCCGUUCUGCAGCUGAGAUAGAUGGAGAUGCUUCCUGUGACGUCUCUCUCUCUGCUUUUGGUGGGGAAGCUGGGGAGGGUGAGGUUGACACCAGCUGCUGCUUGCUCACUAUUACAGCUGAAGAUGUGGUUGCUGAAGGCUGCUGCUCUGUCUCUGUUGUAGCUGAAGAUGUGGUCACUGCUGGUUGCGGCUCCGUCUUGGCUACAGCUGAAGAGGAUGAGGUUGUUACCUGUUGCUGCGUGCUCGCUGCUAAACCUGAAAAAGUUUCUUUUUUUAUUUCUAGCUGUGUCUUUUUAACCGAUGCAGCUGAGGAGGUUGCGGUUGCAGCUGUAGAAAACAAACCCGAUUGCUGUUUGUCUACAGCUAAACUUCUUAAAGUGGAAGGUUCCUGUGGAGAUGUAUCCGGUUUGGUCUCAUCUGAACAGGCUGGUGGUUGA